AGAGUUUGAUCAUGGCUCAGGAUGAACGCUAGCGACAGGCCUAACACAUGCAAGUCGAGGGGCAUCGGGACGUAGCAAUACGUUGCCGGCGACCGGCGGAUGGGUGAGUAACGCGUAUGCAACCUACCCGUAGCAGGGGGAUAGCCCGUUGAAAGACGGAUUAAUACCCCGUAACACAGGGGCUCCGCAUGGAGAUUAUUGUUAAAGGGUCAUUUCUUUUAGAGGUGGUCCGGCUGCGGAUGGGCAUGCGUUCCAUUAGGUAGUUGGUGUAGGUAACGGCUCACCAAGCCGACGAUGGAUAGGGGAACUGAGAGGUUGGUCCCCCACACUGGUACUGAGACACGGACCAGACUCCUACGGGAGGCAGCAGUGAGGAAUCUUGGUCAAUGGACGCAAGUCUGAACCAGCCAUGUCGCGUGAAGGAGGACGGCCCUAAGGGUUGUAAACUUCUUUUGCAGUGGAAUAAAGUUUGCCACGUGUUGGCGAUUUGCAAGUACGCUGCGAAUAAGGAUCGGCUAACUCCGUGCCAGCAGCCGCGGUAAUACGGAGGAUCCGGGCGUUAUCCGGAUUUAUUGGGUUUAAAGGGUGCGCAGGCGGGGAAUUAGGUCGGCGGUGAAAUUUCGGGGCUCAACCUCGACAGUGCCGUUGAAACCGUUUCUCUUGAGUGCGGAUGAGGUAGGCGGAAUUUGUGGUGUAGCGGUGAAAUGCGUAGAUGUCACAAGGAACACCGAUUGCGGAGGCAGCUUACUAAACCGUUACUGACGCUCAUGCACGAANGCGUGGGGAUCAAACAGGAUUAGAUACCCUGGUAGUCCACGCAGUAAACGAUGAUUACUUGCUGUUUGCGAUACACAGUAAGCGGCGUAGCGAAAGCGUUAAGUAAUCCACCUGGGGAGUACGUUCGCAAGAAUGAAACUCAAAGGAAUUGACGGGG
rnacentral:rRNA from 1 species